rnacentral:rRNA from 1 species
AGAGUUUGAUCCUGGCUCAGAACGAACGCUGGCGGCGUGCCUAACACAUGCAAGUCGAGCGAGAAAGUCUCCGCAAGGGGAUGAGUAAAGCGGCGCACGGGUGAGUAACACGUGGGUAACCUGCCUAGGAGUCCGGAACAACCUUCCGAAAGGAGGGCUAAUACCGGAUAAGACCACGGGGACUUUGGUCCCUGAGGUAAAAAGACAGCCUCUGCACGCAAGCUGUCACUUCUAGAGGGGCCCGCGGCCCAUCAGCUAGUUGGCGGGGUAACGGCCCACCAAGGCUACGACGGGUAGCUGGUCUGAGAGGACGAUCAGCCACACUGGAACUGAGACACGGUCCAGACUCCUACGGGAGGCAGCAGUGGGGAAUUUUGCGCAAUGGGCGAAAGCCUGACGCAGCAACGCCGCGUGAGUGAUGAAGGUCUUCGGAUCGUAAAGCUCUUUCGGCCGGGACGAAAACGGGUCGGUGAAUAGCCGGCUCCUUGACGGUACCGGAAGAAGAAGCACCGGCUAACUCUGUGCCAGCAGCCGAGGUAAUACAGAGGGUGCAAGCGUUGUUCGGAAUUAUUGGGCGUAAAGCGCGUGUAGGCGGCAGAGCAUGUCGGGUGUGAAAGCCCUCGGCUUAACCGAGGAAGUGCGCCCGAAACUGCUCAGCUCGAGUGCUGGAGAGGGUAGCGGAAUUCCCGGUGUAGAGGUGAAAUUCGUAGAUAUCGGGAGGAACACCAGUGGCGAAGGCGGCUACCUGGACGGACACUGACGCUGAGACGCGAAAGCGUGGGUAGCAAACAGGAUUAGAUACCCUGGUAGUCCACGCUGUAAACGAUGGGAACUAGGUGUGGCGGGUGUUGACCCCUGCCGUGCCGAAGCUAACGCAUUAAGUUCCCCGCCUGGGAAGUACGGCCGCAAGGUUAAAACUCAAAGGAAUUGACGG